GAUGAACGCUGGCGGCGUGCCUAAUACAUGCAAGUCGAGCGAACGGACGAGAAGCUUGCUUCUCUGAUGUUAGCGGCGGACGGGUGAGUAACACGUGGAUAACCUACCUAUAAGACUGGGAUAACCUCGGGAAACCGGAGCUAAUACCGGAUGAUAUUUUGAACCGCAUGGUUCAAAAGUGAAAGACGGUCUUGCUGUCACUUAUAGAUGGAUCCGCGCUGCAUUAGCUAGUUGGUAAGGUAACGGCUUACCAAGGCAACGAUGCAUAGCCGACCUGAGAGGGUGAUCGGCCACACUGGAACUGAGACACGGUCCAGACUCCUACGGGAGGCAGCAGUAGGGAAUCUUCCGCAAUGGGCGAAAGCCUGACGGAGCAACGCCGCGUGAGUGAUGAAGGUCUUCGGAUCGUAAAACUCUGUUAUUAGGGAAGAACAUAUGUGUAAGUAACUGUGCACAUCUUGAUGGUACCUAAUCAGAAAGCCACGGCUAACUACGUG
rnacentral:rRNA from 1 species